rnacentral:rRNA from 1 species
CGGCGAGUGAAGCGGCAAAAGCUCAAAUUUGAAAUCUGGUACCUUCGGUGCCCGAGUUGUAAUUUGGAGAGGGCAACUUUGGGGCCGUUCCUUGUCUAUGUUCCUUGGAACAGGACGUCAUAGAGGGUGAGAAUCCCGUGUGGCGAGGAGUGCGGUUCUUUGUAAAGUGCCUUCGAAGAGUCGAGUUGUUUGGGAAUGCAGCUCUAAGUGGGUGGUAAAUUCCAUCUAAAGCUAAAUAUUGGCGAGAGACCGAUAGCGAACAAGUACAGUGAUGGAAAGAUGAAAAGAACUUUGAAAAGAGAGUGAAAAAGUACGUGAAAUUGUUGAAAGGGAAGGGCAUUUGAUCAGACAUGGUGUUUUGUGCCCUCUGCUCCUUGUGGGUAGGGGAAUCUCGCAUUUCACUGGGCCAGCAUCAGUUUUGGUGGCAGGAUAAAUCCAUAGGAAUGUAGCUUGCCUCGGUAAGUAUUAUAGCCUGUGGGAAUACUGCCAGCUGGGACUGAGGACUGCGACGUAAGUCAAGGAUGCUGGCAUAAUGGUUAUA